rnacentral:rRNA from 1 species
CCUACGGGAGGCAGCAGUGAGGAAUAUUGGUCAAUGGGCGGGAGCCUGAACCAGCCAAGUCGCGUGAGGGAAGACGGUCCUACGGAUUGUAAACCUCUUUUGCCGGGGAGCAACGGGGUCCUUGCGAGGGCCCGAUGAGAGUACCCGGAGAAAAAGCAUCGGCUAACUCCGUGCCAGCAGCCGCGGUAAUACGGAGGAUGCGAGCGUUAUCCGGAUUUAUUGGGGUUAAAGGGUGCGUAGGCGGGCUGUUAAGUCAGCGGUAAAAUGUCGGGGCUCAACCCCGGCCUGCCGUUGAAACUGAUGUUCUUGAGUGGGCGAGAAGUAUGCGGAAUGCGUGGUGUAGCGGUGAAAUGCAUAGAUAUCACGCAGAACUCCGAUUGCGAAGGCAGCAUACCGGCGCCCAACUGACGCUGAAGCACGAAAGCGUGGGUAUCGAACAGGAUUAGAUACCCGAGUAGUC